AUUUCCUUUUAUUUCCCCCUCCCUGCUGCCCUCGGAUCGAAGCUCGGUGAACUCUGGCGUGGGUUGUAAGGACGUCUUUAUAAAGGCCCCGGACUGAGUGGAUGCUGCAAUCAUGUAGUAAUCAAAGAAUUAGAAAGAGCAAAAGGCUGCAGGCUGAUUCACUUCCCUGGAUCUCUGCAGAGGACGGGGAGGGCAGCAAAACCGUAGAGGGAGAUGACGUUGUCCCCAAAGGAUG